GCUCGGGACCAGCACUCCUGUUGUUGGACAGAAAGACAUCAACUCAGUGACUUGAGAUGUGACUGCACUAUGCUGUUGCUGGUGACCACAGUUAAUUCUACAAGACAUGCUGUGACACCAGGAGAGAUGAGUCCUCCGUCACAGAUGGUGUGGUCAGUGAAGAUGGUCGCCUGCAGGUUCAAGCUCAUUGCAUCUCCAACCCACA
rnacentral:lncRNA from 1 species